rnacentral:rRNA from 1 species
AUUGAACGCUGGCGGCAGGCUUAACACAUGCAAGUCGAGCGGAGAUGAGGUGCUUGCACCUUAUCUUAGCGGCGGACGGGUGAGUAAUGCUUAGGAAUCUGCCUAUUAGUGGGGGACAACAUUCCGAAAGGAAUGCUAAUACCGCAUACGUCCUACGGGAGAAAGCAGGGGAUCUUCGGACCUUGCGCUAAUAGAUGAGCCUAAGUCGGAUUAGCUAGUUGGUGGGGUAAAGGCCUACCAAGGCGACGAUCUGUAGCGGGUCUGAGAGGAUGAUCCGCCACACUGGGACUGAGACACGGCCCAGACUCCUACGGGAGGCAGCAGUGGGGAAUAUAGGACAAUGGGGGGAACCCUGAUCCAGCCAUGCCGCGUGUGUGAAGAAGGCCUUAUGGUUGUAAAGCACUUUAAGCGAGGAGGAGGCUACUGAGACUAAUACUCUUGGAUAGUGGACGUUACCCGCAGAAUAAGCACCGGCUAACUCUGUGCCAGCCGCCGCGGUAA